UCGUAACAAGGUUUCCGUAGGUGAACCUGCGGAAGGAUCAUUGUCGAUACCUGCGGCAGCAGAGCAACCGCGAACCCGUUAAAGACCGCCGCCGCCGCCGUCCGCCGGCCCCGGCCGCGCGGACGCGGCACAACAACGAACCCCGGCGCGGAUCGCGCCAAGGAAUACCGAACGGAGAUGGCCCCGCGGGGCGCCCCGUCCUCGGGAGCGCUCCGCAGGGCGACUUCGCUAGCGAAACACGACGACUCUCGGCAACGGAUAUCUCGGCUCUCGCAUCGAUGAAGAACGUAGCGAAAUGCGAUACUUGGUGUGAAUUGCAGAAUCCCGUGAACCAUCGAGUCUUUGAACGCAAGUUGCGCCCGAAGCCAUUAGGCCGAGGGCACGUCUGCCUGGGCGUCACGCAACGCGUCGCCCCCCGGCCCCCCACCCGCUUCGGGUUGGGGCGCCCGGGGGGCGGAGGAUGGCCCCCCGCGACCCGUCCGUCGCGGCCGGCCGAAAAGCGGAGUCACGCCGGAACGGGCCGUCACGGCAGGUGGUGGCGUCUCGCUCAUCGCGUCCUGUCGUGCUGGCGCCCGUCCCGGACCGCGUCUCCACGACCCUUUGCGCCUCGGCGCCACGACCGCGACCCCAGGUCAGGCGGGACUACCCGCUGAGUUUAAGCAUA
rnacentral:rRNA from 1 species